GAUGUUUUUGUAAAAUAUUCUGAGUCUCCAAGGUCUAUGGCUUAUUAUUUGUGCCUUAAAAAAUUAAAACUUGAGCUACCAUCUUGGAGUGUUAUUCAGUUCAUCUCACCUCUCCCUUUUUAUGAGGGAAGUAUGCAAAUGUCUAACCAAUAUUUGAUGUGGAGAAAGGUCAUAUCAUCUGAUUGUAAAAUAUUCUUACAAAAUGUAUGA
rnacentral:lncRNA from 1 species